CCCUGUGUGGUACAAAGGCUAAGUGCUCAGCUACUAACUGAAAGAUUGGUGGUUCAAAUCCACCCAGAGGCA
rnacentral:tRNA from 1 species